AACGAACGCUGGCGGCAUGCCUAACACAUGCAAGUCGAACGGGACCUUCGGGUCUAGUGGCGCACGGGUGCGUAACGCGUGGGAAUCUACCCUUGGGUUCGGAAUAACAGUUAGAAAUGACUGCUAAUACCGGAUGAUGACGUAAGUCCAAAGAUUUAUCGCCCAAGGAUGAGCCCGCGUAAGAUUAGCUUGUUGGUGGGGUAAUGGCCUACCUAGGCGACGAUCUUUAGCUGGUCUGAGAGGAUGAUCAGCCACACUGGGACUGGGACACGGCCCAGACUCCUACGGGAGGCAGCAGUGGGGAAUAUUGGACAAUGGGCGAAAGCCUGAUCCAGCAAUGCCGCGUGAGUGAUGAAGGCCUUAGGGUUGUAAAGCUCUUUUACCAGGGAUGAUAAUGACAGUACCUGGAGAAUAAGCUCCGGCUAACUCCGUGCCAGCAGCCGCGGUAA
rnacentral:rRNA from 1 species